rnacentral:rRNA from 1 species
AUUAAUACCCCAUGAUUAUAUAGAGAGGCAUCCUUUUAUAUUUAAAGUUUCGACGGUACGGGAUGGGCAUGCGCAACAUUAGCUAGUUGGUAGGGUAACGGCCUACCAAGGCUACGAUGUUUAGGGGACCUGAGAGGGUGAUCCCCCACACUGGUACUGAGACACGGACCAGACUCCUACGGGAGGCAGCAGUGAGGAAUAUUGGUCAAUGGGCGCAAGCCUGAACCAGCCAUCCCGCGUGCAGGAAGACGGCGCUAUGCGUUGUAAACUGCUUUUCCAGGGAAAGAAAACCCCCGACGUGUCGGGGCUUGCCGGUACCCUGGGAAUAAGCAUCGGCUAACUCCGUGCCAGCAGCCGCGGUAAUACGGAGGAUGCGAGCGUUAUCCGGAUUUAUUGGGUUUAAAGGGUGCGUAGGCGGAUUAAUAAGUCAGUGGUGAAAACCUUCAGCUUAACUGGAGACUUGCCAUUGAUACUGUUAGUCUUGAGUACGGUCAAGGUAGGCGGAAUGUGUAAUGUAGCGGUGAAAUGCUUAGAUAUUACACAGAACACCGAUUGCGAAGGCAGCUUACUGGGCCAUUACUGACGCUGAUGCACGAAAGCGUGGGGAGCGAACAGGAUUAGAUACCCUGGUAGUCCACGCCGUAAACGAUGAUCACUCGCUGUUAGCGAUACACAGUUAGCGGC